CGAAGACAAGUCGUACCUUCUGCUUUCUUUACACUGCGAACCCCGGUUUCCUCACGAGCCUACAGCGAGGCUGACCGCUUUGAAGAGGCGGGAGAGAUGGGAGAAAGUUGCCUCGAUCUCUCCGGAUAAAGUUGCCGAAGAUGAGCUAAUCCGGGAGAGAUGCGGAGUUCACCCGAGUUUCUCCUUUUGUUCAAGUUGCCCGAGCAGACAAAGAGCCGCCGGCGGCGGCAGGUCCCCGCUCCCCCACUCCACCCCCCCUCCCGGCUGGGUCCCGCCGUGCCCUCUCCCCUCAUCGCCCCAUGGCCCCCCCAACUUUCCACCUCCUCCAUCCCUCCUCGGCCCUGGCGCAAAACUUCCCUCACACUGAACCUCCUGGAAGAAAGAAAAAAAAAAAAAAAGGAAAAAAAAAUUCAAGGCUGGUUGAGGGGUGGAAAGGGAGAGCAACAUCUCUCAAAUCAUUAUUUCCGGUAGAUGCACCUCUUUGUUUGGAUUCCCCCGACUGUCAGUGAGGACAGCCUCUGGGUAUCGGUUAGUCGAAGCGCGCAGAAUGAGACGGGCAAACGCGGGCCGUAAAGGAAAACAAGUUUGGGAGAAGAAAAAGGAAAGAAAGAAAAAAAAUAAAAAAAAAAAAAGGGAGAGAAGAAAGAAAACCUCCGGAGUUGCGAAACGAACCCUUUAUACAUGGACACGGGAAGUACAUAAAUAAACAACUGGAGGGGAAUUUGGGAAGACUGUUGCAUCUCCUCCCCCCUCCCCUUCGUACAUUUGCCGAGAAAAGAGCCAAGGAGCCCCCCAAAGCCCCGUGCCGCGGCCGGCCUCUGGCAUCCCUACCUGUUGCGUAAAGCGCGAAGCAGGGGCCGACAGCAUCCGUCCCGAAGAAACCGAAGGAUAAGGACCCGCGCCCCCUCACCUGCCCCCGGACGCCCCCACGGGGAUAGGAGCAAGACUCCAGAGCAAAGCUGUUCCUGACCCUAGGCAUCCCUACACCAGCAAGACCUUGUGCCCUGUGUCAGAUCUUCUGGGAGAGCCGGACUGCAUGGACUCAGGGCUGCAGCCUUUAAGAGGAAGAAGAUGGAUGACAGACUUCUCCCUGCUACCCCACCAGAGGCCAUGCAAGUGGAAAGAACCUUCCCCUAGCCCCAGGCUGACAGAGCUAUCAGAGGGAAUCUUUGCAAAUUCAGCACAUACCAAACAAUGGGGAUUUUCCUCUGUGUGAUGAGACAUACUCCUGAUCACAGCCCUGGCAAGUCAGUUCCAUUCUGCUGCUUUCAUUCUGGCCAGCUGGUAUCAGCCUCCUGCAUCUCCAAGUCUUAUGAGUUUGACCCUUUUCCUGUGGAAUUAGGUAUGACAAAAAUACCUGUCAUUGUGAAGGACAACAGAAUAUAACUUGUUUUUGCGAGAAAUACCAGGGUCACUCUAAGCUCAGAAAUACUGUGGCAGCUCCAGUAAAACCAGCAAAGUAAAUAUAGACACAAGAUAAACUAUCUGGUCUUCCCUUUGCCUGUGACCUCUAUUACUUUCCCUGUUUCUCUGACUAUAACCUCACCAUUACAGGGAAAGUGUGGAGAAAUCACCAGAAACCCCCACCAGGGGAGAGAUAUGGAGCUUUUGGAAAGAGUCCAGAAGAAGGCCAUGAAGAUGAUCCAAGGGCUCCGGCAUGAAGAUCUAUGAAGAUAGGCUGAAGAGACUGAGCUUGUUCAGCCUGGAAAAGAGGAGGCUAUGGGAAAACCUCAUUGCAGCCUUCCCAUAUUUAAAGGGAGAUUGAAACAGGAGGAAAAACUACUUUUUACACAAGUAGUUUGUUAUAGAAUGAAGGGGAAUGGUUUUAAACUAAAGGAAGAGAGGCUUACAGUGGAUGUCAGGGAGAAGUUUUUACUGGGAGAGUGGUGAGGUGCUGGGACAGGCUUCCCAGAGAGGUUGUGGAUGCCCCAUUGCUGGAGGUAUUUAAGGCCAGGUUGGAUGGGGCCCUGGGCAAUCUGAUCUCAUGCUUAAUUUAGCAGCUGGCAACCCUGCCUGUAGCAGUGGGGUUGGAACUUGAUGAUCCUUGAGGUCCCUUCCAACCUAGGCCAUUCUAUGAUUCUAAACAUGAAGAGAGCUAAAUAUUCUCUAGAUAAAAGAAAGGCAGAGAAGGAAUGACUAUCUGAAGGGCAGUCCCAUGUGCAGAAGCUGGGAAUGGAUACCCACAGGGCCCAGACAUGGGGUCACCAACCUCAAGGUUGCUGCCAUGUCAGGACCUGCGUGGGCAGCUGGCCAAUGCGAUACAGGAGGUUCCUCCACUUCCUUUCUUUGGUCACCAACCUGCCAUGAGGUUUGAAUGGCUUCUGUCUAUCUCUAAUGGGGACCUGGAGGAAAGACAUUCAUCCUAUCACAAGCCUCCUGAGCCAUCUCAACUCCAACACAGCAGUUUUUUAAAAAUUCUUAAGCUUACUUCACACAGAUAUAAAUAAUUAUACAGACAAUACAAGUCAAAGAAGAGUCAGGCACUAAAUACUGAUAGAAAGCCUUAUUCCUCCUUUCUUCAGUGAAAACUCUAGAUCUCUGUUCUGCAUUAUUCAUUCAGUAAUCCACCUCUGUGAUACACAUGUAAGAGCUGUUUCAACAAUUUAUGAGCUUUAGUGAUGGCUGAAUAAUCACAUUUUAUAGUCUGAUACAGAUAUCAGAAACACCUGAUACAGAUACAAAAAAGAUUGUGGUAGGUUAUUUCAUGAAAGGCUAAUGCAUCAAAAAGUCCAAGUUGGAAGGCAUUGGAAGGACUUAAGGGAAAUUCUUUCUGCUCUUACAUUAUCUAUCAUUACAUCAGUAACACAGUCCUUGAGGUUUGCAAUUGCCCAGCUCCAGACACUUUAAUAAAGAAAUACAUAAAAUCAAUGCAACUCAUUUUCUCCCAUCUUCAUUUAAAAAUAAAAAAUUGAAAUCUCUGUUCCAGAAACAAAUAAAUAAAUAAAUCUGCUAAUGCAGAAUAUGAAUUACAGAGCAACUUUUAAAAAACUGUACAUGAAAAGUCAAGGUCAUUUUGUAUAAUCACACAAAUGAACAAAUAGCUGUGGUAAACUGAAAUUCCUGGAAAUCAUGUAAAUAACCGGCCAUAAUCAGAGGCUGCAGAGCAAUUAUUAAUCUACUGAUGCUGACCUACCAGACACCCUAAGUUCACCAGACUAUUUUUAACCUAUUUUAGUUACAGAAUGUAUCUAGAACUAUCCUUUGCUUCUUACAUUUCUUUCUGUAAAUUGCAUAGGCAAUAUCCAUUGUAUAUCCUGUAGUACAAAUCAAAUUAUUAUCCUAACAAGCUCUUCUGGGAAAUAUAAAAAUUCUGAAGCUAAAAAUCUGUAUGAAAGUAGAUACUUCCAUUGCUUUAUCAUUAAUCAAAAGAUAUACUAAUGUUCUAAUGGCACAACUAUUUAAACAUUCAAAAGUACAAAAAUGUACUUGCUUAAAAUAUCUGAUAAGAAAACAUCCUUAAAAGUGAUCACAGCUAAAAUUGCUUUUCUAGAUACAAAUGGAACACACUUUACAUCAGACUAAACACUCAGAAGACAGGUAGUGAAUUGGAGACUACGUAGAUGCUUAGCCAGGCCUGUGUCAAUCUCCAUCCAU
rnacentral:lncRNA from 1 species